ACUCAAAUGAAUUGACGGGGGCCCGCACAAGCGGUGGAGCAUGCGGCUUAAUUCGAUGCUACGCGAAGAACCUUACCUGGGCUUGACAUGGAUUGGACUAGGUAUGAAAGUACCUUUCUCUUCGGAGCCGAUUCACAGGUGCUGCAUGGCUGUCGUCAGCUCGUGUCGUGAGAUGUUCGGUUAAGUCCGGCAACGAGCGCAACCCCUGUUCUUAGUUGCCAGCAAGUAAAGUUGGGGACUCUAAGAAGACCAGCUCUCUUUCAUGGGAGCAGGAAGAUGGGGACGACGUCAAGUCAGUAUGGCCCUUACGCCCAGGGCUGCACGCGUGCUACAAUGCCUAGUACAGAAGGAAGCAAUACCGCGAGGUGGAGCAAAUCCUCAAAACUAGGCCCAGUUCAGAUUGAAGUCUGCAAUUCGACUUCAUGAAGUUGGAAUCGCUAGUAAUGGCGCAUCAGCAUUGGCGCCGUGAAUACGUUCUCGGGCCUUGUACACACCGCCCGU
rnacentral:rRNA from 1 species